GUCGCCCUUGUUGUUCUUACUUACAUCGUUUCGAAAAUAUUGGUUGCUAAUUUAUACUUACAUUCCUGUGAUUUCAAAUACCGAAUUUAACUUCAUAUCUUAUAAGCAUACUGUCAGUCAUUCCAUAAGUUGACUUAGAGCUCACUUUUCAUCCGUUAUAUCCUCGUGCUGUCAAUAGCCUAAAACUCAUGUUUGAAGCCCACACAUAGAGGAAUACAAAUGUAUUGAGAUAAGGAUCUUUUCUGAAUCUCGCAAUUUUGGUGGUGUACCCUGCACCAGCAUGUUUGUUGUUAUGGCUGUUUUUACUUCAUUGGUUUAGAAGGCAACCCAGCUAAGAGUUAGAGUUUCAGUGACAUGAAGAGUGUGAAGUGAACCACCUAUCACCAUGCUACUAUAACACCAUGACACUUUCUUUAGCAUCAGGAAAUGUAUCUCAACAUGAGGAGUAAGACGGUUUGUUCCUGUGAUUUCCAUUUUUACGGUUUUUUCAUCAUGAAAAUUGCAGUGUGCUUCUUAGAAAAGAGCACACGGUUUUUUUAUGGAAUCGUGUGGUCCUGGCACGGAGAUUCUUGUGCCAAUGCUUACUUUUGUUCACGACGGAAGGGGGACUUCCAUCAACGUUCUUCUCCAUCCUUAUCUUCGCGACGCACGCUCAACUAGCUUCACUGCUUCUAAACACAAUUUGUUUUACUUCACUGGUGACUUGGCGAGGACCACUUUUUCAGUGAUCGCUUCCGUCCGCUGUUACACACCUGCAGUCACUCACCACGGGAUUAUACGGGAUUAUGCCCAGGUAAUGCAGAGGAAACGUCGAGAAGAUGGACAUUUCAACGUCGUCGGUAUCUCGAAAAUGUCAGCGCGGAUCCUCAUUUGUUGUUGGUAAUAUGUUUGUGUUAGUAAACCCGUUGACUGCCACGCCUUUGUUCUCCCCUGCACGGGCCGCGCUGUUCGGUCUCGUGGUUUACAAGCCACGGGGUCGGAGAGUCGCCAAGCCCAAAAUUUGCCGCAAGGCGCCUGUUUCAGGCAAUGCACCUUAGUCCCCUCCUUGUCAGCAAGGACUUGUCAGCAAUGGCAAGUCCCACUUGGUCAUGGAUCCUUAAGACGUGGCGCGUAGAGUAGUAGAGAGCAACCUACGGGUUGUAUGGCGUGGCAGC